GACGAACGCUGGCGGCGUGCCUAAUACAUGCAAGUAGAACGCUGAAGCGAGGAGCUUGCUCUUCUUGGAUGAGUUGCGCACGGGUGAGUAACGCGUAGGUAACCUGCCUUGUAGCGGGGGAUAACUAUUGGAAACGAUAGCUAAUACCGCAUAACAAUGGAUGACACAUGUCAUUUAUUUGAAAGGGGCAAUUGCUCCACUACAAGAUGGACCUGCGUUGUAUUAGCUAGUAGGUGAGGUAAUGGCUCACCUAGGCGACGAUACAUAGCCGACCUGAGAGGGUGAUCGGCCACACUGGGACUGAGACACGGCCCAGACGCCUACGGGAGGCAGCAGUAGGGAAUCUUCGGCAAUGGGGGCAACCCUGACCGAGCAACGCCGCGUGAGUGAAGAAGGGUUUCGGAUCGUAAAGCUCUGUUGUAAGUCAAGAACGGGUGUGAGAGUGGAAAGUUCACACUGUGACGGUAGCUUACCAGAAAGGGACGGCUAACUACGUG
rnacentral:rRNA from 1 species